GUGUUGCUAUACGGUUGCUAGGGUGUUAAUGCAAUGUUGCUGAGGUGUUGAGAAUUUGUCUGUUGCUAUGCAGUUGCUGAGGGUUUCUGAGUUGUUAGUGUGUUGCUGUGCAGUUGCUAGGCAGUAGUUGAAGUGUUCUCAGUUGGUAAUGCGCUGCUAUGCAAUUACUAGGUUGUUGCUAGGCAGUUCUGAGGUGUUCGGAGUUGUAAAUGUGUCGCUAUGGCGUUGCUAGGGUGUCUGACUUGUUCCUGUGUCACUUUGCAGUUGCUAGAAUGUUAUUGUUCAAUUUCUUUCUUUUCAGGUCUUUUAAAUAGAUAGUGUGCUGCUUUCCAGUUGCUAGGUUGUUGCUGUGCAGUUUUUGAGGGGUUCUGAUUUGUAAGUGUGUAAUUCUGCAGUUGCUAUGGUGUUGCUAUGCAGUUGCUUGAAGUAUUUUGGGCUGUUUGUGUGUCGCUACACUGUUGCUACGCAGUUGAGUUGUAAGUGUGUUGAUUUGCAGUUUACACUGUGUUGCUAUGCAAUUUCUGAGGUGUACUAAGUUGUUGUGUGUUGCUAUGCAGUUGCUAGGGUGUUGCUAUGCGGUUUCUGAAUGUGUUCUAAAUUGAAAAAAGUGUGUUGUUAAGCAGUCACUGAGAUGUUUACUGUGUACGUUUUUUGAUUGGUUGCUAGUCAUUGCUGUUGUGGCUGCGGAGGUGUUAAUGCAGUGCUAUGCAGUUGCUAUGGUGUUUUGCGUGGUUGCUGAGGUUUUUGAGUAGUUGCGCAGCUGAUAGGCUGUUCCGGGUGUUCACUGUAUGUCUGAGUAUGAAGACAGUGCAGGAAGCAGAGCCCAUGAUGACAUCACCACCCCUCUGUUCCAGUGCACAUCUGGAAAUGCUCAAGUUUCAGAACGAAAAAGUGAGAACGGCAAGAACGUGAGGGAAGAGUACAAACGCGCUUGGCAUAUCUGCACCACCAGCACUGACAGUGAAAGAAGGAGGAGAUAAUAGGAAAAGAGAAAGAAAUGGAGGUGGACCGAUUCCAGGACUAAAACCAGGUCCUGGAGUGUCUCGGACUUGGCAUGGACAAAGACCUCCUGCACCCAUUUGGAAACCAUUAACUCAUAAGGACAUCCAGUUUAGGAAACCAGUUGUAUUUCCCCUGGUUUCAUAAACAAGUUCUUUUCAAAUUAAACUGUGAUUGAUUUUUGUCAUUUGGUACUGGUCUGUGUUUGCCUUAUUGGCGUUUUCUUCUGAAAAAAUUGUUAUCAUUAACAAAGUAUGGCAAAUUCACAUUCAGCCAAAAGUACUGCAGUACUGUUGUGACUUUGUCAUUAAACUUGUAUUAUUUUCAGUAUGGUGCAGUUAUGUGUUGUCAUGCAGAUCGAGCAACUUGUGAUGUUAAGUAUUCUAAAACUCAAGAAAAGCUAAAAGUAGGCCUAGUUAUUUUCAAAGGUGCAAAUGUAAUUUAAUUAUUUAUGCACCAGUGAAACUAACUUAUAAUAAAAACGUUAUAAAAAGAAAAAAAG
ensembl:lncRNA